UACGGAGGGGCUAGCGUUGUUCGGAAUUCCUGGGCGUAAAGCGCGCGUAGGCGGCUUUGUAAGUCAGAGGUGAAAUCCCGGGGCUCAACUCCGGAACUGCCUUUGAAACUGCAUCGCUUGAAUGUCGGAGAGGUGAGUGGAAUUCCGAGCGUAGAGGUGAAAUUCGUAGAUAUUCGGAAGAACACCAGUGGCGAAGGCGGCUCACUGGACGACUAUUGACGCUGAGGUGCGAAAGCGUGGGGAGCAAACAGG
rnacentral:rRNA from 1 species